UACGUAGGGUGCAAGCGUUAAUCGGAAUUACUGGGCGUAAAGCGUGCGCAGGCGGUUCGGAAAGAGAGGUGUGAAAUCCCAGGGCUUAACCUUGGAACUGCACUUUUAACUACCGGGCUAGAGUACGUCAGAGGGGGGUAGAAUUCCACGUGUAGCAGUGAAAUGCGUAGAGAUGUGGAGGAAUACCGAUGGCGAAGGCAGCCCCCUGGGAUGAUACUGACACUCAUGCACGAAAGCGUGGGGAGCAAACAGG
rnacentral:rRNA from 1 species